rnacentral:rRNA from 1 species
AACGAACGCUGGCGGCAUGCCUAACACAUGCAAGUCGAACGAGACCUUCGGGUCUAGUGGCGCACGGGUGCGUAACGCGUGGGAACCUGCCCUUAGGUUCGGAAUAACUCCCCGAAAGGGGUGCUAAUACCGGAUAAUGUCUUCGGGCCAAAGAUUUAUCGCCUUUGGAUGGGCCCGCGUUGGAUUAGCUAGUUGGUAGGGUAACAGCCUACCAAGGCGACGAUCCAUAGCUGGUCUGAGAGGAUGAUCAGCCACACUGGGACUGAGACACGGCCCAGACUCCUACGGGAGGCAGCAGUGGGGAAUAUUGGACAAUGGGCGAAAGCCUGACCCAGCAAUGCCGCGUGAGUGAUGAAGGCCUUAGGGUUGUAAAGCUCUUUUACCCGGGAUGAUAAUGACAGUACCGGGAGAAGAAGCUCCGGCUAACUCCGUG